GUGCUUGCUUUGGCAGUACAUAUACUAAAAGUGGAAUAAUACGAAGAUUAACACGGCCACUGUGUAAGGAUGACACACAAAUCCAUGAAGCAUUCCAUAUCUUU
rnacentral:snRNA from 1 species